rnacentral:tRNA from 1 species
GGUGAAAUGGCUGAGGUGCAGGCAAUAAAUUGUAAAUUUAUUAACGAAAAUUGAUUUUCUUUUACCA